GACGAACCGUGCGAACGUUAUUCGGAAUCACUGGGCUUAAAGCGCGUGUAGGCGGGCCGGCACGUCGAUGGCUGAAAUCCCCCGGCUCAACCGGGGAAGUGGCCUCGAUACGACCGGCCUGGAGGGGGGUAGGGGGCGCCGGAACUUCCGGUGGAGCGGUGAAAUGCAUUGAGAUCGGAAGGAACGCCCGUGGCGAAAGCGGGCGCCUGGACCCCACCUGACGCUGAGACGCGAAAGCCAGGGGAGCGAACGGG
rnacentral:rRNA from 1 species